rnacentral:rRNA from 1 species
GAUCAUGGCUCAGGAUGAACGCUGGCGGCGUGCUUAACACAUGCAAGUCGAACGGGAAACCUAUUAUUGAAACUUCGGUCGAUUUAAUUUGUUUCUAGUGGCGGACGGGUGAGUAACGCGUGGGUAACCUGCCCUAUACAGGGGGAUAACAACCAGAAAUGGUUGCUAAUACCGCAUAAGCGCACAGGACCGCAUGGUCCGGUGUGAAAACUCCGGUGGUAUAGGAUGGACCCGCGUUGGAUUAGCUGGUUGGCAGGG